UACGUAGGGGGCUAGCGUUGUCCGGAAUCAUUGGGCGUAAAGCGCGUGUAGGCGGUCCGGUAAGUCCGCUGUGAAAGUCGGGGGCUCAACCCUCGGAUGCCGGUGGAUACUGUCGGGCUUGAGUACGGAAGAGGCGAGUGGAAUUCCUGGUGUAGCGGUGAAAUGCGUAGAUAUCGAGAGGAACACCUGCGGCGAAGGCGGGUUGCUGGGCCGACACUGACGCUGAUGCGCGAAAGCCAGGGGAGCGAACGGG
rnacentral:rRNA from 1 species